GCUCAGAACGAACGCUGGCGGCGUGCUUAAUACAUGCAAGUUGUGCGAGAAAGUUCCUUCGGGAAGUGAGUACAGCGGCGAACGGGUGAGUAACACGUAAGCAAUCUGCCUCAUAGAUCGGGACAACCCUGCUAACGCGGGGCUAAUACCGGAUGGUAAACACUGUUCGCAUGGAUAGUGUUUUAAAUGGAGUAAUCCGCUAUGAGAUGAGCUUGCGGACCAUUAGUUUGUUGGCAGGGUAAUGGCCUACCAAGACGACGAUGGUUAGCCGACCUGAGAGGGUGAUCGGCCACAUUGGGACUGAGAUACGGCCCAGACUCCUACGGGAGGCAGCAGUAGGGAAUUUUGCGCAAUGGACGAAAGUCUGACGCAGCAACGCCGCGUGAGCGAUGAAGGCCUUCGGGUUGUAAAGCUCUGUUGAGUGGGAAGAAAUGGUUUCGGCCUUGACGGUACCACUCGAGGAAGCCCCGGCUAAAUACGUGCCAGCAGCCGCGGUAAUACGUAUGGGGCAAGCGUUGUUCGGAUUUACUGGGCGUAAAGGGAGCGUAGGCGAAAUGGUAAGUUAGAAGUGUAAUCUGCAGGCUUAACCUGCAGCUCGCUUUUAAUACUGCUUUUCUUGAGUAGUGGAGAGGAAGACGGAAUUCCAGGUGUAGCGGUGGAAUGCGUAGAUAUCUGGAAGAACACCAGUUGCGAAGGCGGUCUUCUGGCCACAUACUGACGCUGAGGCUCGAAAGCGUGGGGAGCGAACAGGAUUAGAUACCCUGGUAGUCCACGCCGUAAACGAUGGACACUAGUUGCUGGUCUCUUCGGGGAUCAGUGACGUAGCUAACGCGUUAAGUGUCCCGCCUGGGGAGUACGCCCGCAAGGGUGAAACUCAAAGGAAUUGACGGGGGCCCGCACAAGCGGUGGAGCAUGUGCUUUAAUUCGAUGCAACGCGAAGAACCUCACCUGGGCUUGACAUGGGAAUGAAAGGUUUUAGAGAUAAGACCCUUUCCUUCGGGAACAUUCUACACAGGUGCUGCAUGGUUGUCGUCAGCUCGUGUCGUGAGAUGUUGGGUUAAGUCCCGCAACGAGCGCAACCCCUGCCCUUAGUUGCCAGCGAGUCAUGUCGGGAACUCUAGGGGGACCGCCUGGUAUAACCAGGAGGAAGGUGGGGAUGACGUCAAAUCCUCAUGGCCCUUACGCCCAGGGCUAGACACGUGCUACAAUGGCCGGUACAAUGGGCUGCGAAGUCGCGAGGCUAAGCCAAUCCCAGAAAACCGGUCUCAGUUCGGAUUGGAGUCUGCAAUUCGACUCCAUGAAGGUGGAAUCGCUAGUAAUCGCGGAUCAGCAUGCCGCGGUGAAUACGUUCCCGGGCAUUGUACACACCGCCCGUCAAGCCACGAAAGAUGGCAGUGCCCGAAGUCGCUUCUCUAACCGCAAGGAAGAGGGUGC
rnacentral:rRNA from 1 species